rnacentral:rRNA from 1 species
AUUGAACGCUGGCGGCAUGCCUUACACAUGCAAGUCGAACGGCAGCAGACCUUCGGGUGCCGGCGAGUGGCGAACGGUGAGUAAUAUAUCGGAACGUACCUUCAGGUGGGGAUAACGUAGCGAAAGUUACGCUAAUACCGCAUAUUCUGUGAGCAGGAAAGCAGGGGAUCGCAAGACCUUGCGCUGAUUGAGCGGCCGAUAUCAGAUUAGCUAGUUGGUGAGGUAAAGGCUCACCAAGGCGACGAUCUGUAGCGGGUCUGAGAGGAUGAUCCGCCACACUGGAACUGAGACACGGUCCAGACUCCUACGGGAG